GGGUGCUAUCAUACCAGUACCAGUACUAGUACAUCAGAUCUCAUUAAAACUCCACAGUUAAGCGGGCCAUGCGAAAGUAGUACUAAGAUGGGUGACCCUUCUGGGAAGUCUUCAGGUUGCACCCC
rfam:Arabis alpina cultivar Pajares chromosome 6, whole genome shotgun sequence.